UUGAACGCUGGCGGCAGGCCUAACACAUGCAAGUCGAGCGGAUGAAGGGAGCUUGCUCCUGGAUUCAGCGGCGGACGGGUGAGUAAUGCCUAGGAAUCUGCCUGGUAGUGGGGGAUAACGUCCGGAAACGGGCGCUAAUACCGCAUACGUCCUGAGGGAGAAAGUGGGGGAUCUUCGGACCUCACGCUAUCAGAUGAGCCUAGGUCGGAUUAGCUAGUUGGUGGGGUAAAGGCCUACCAAGGCGACGAUCCGUAACUGGUCUGAGAGGAUGAUCAGUCACACUGGAACUGAGACACGGUCCAGACUCCUACGGGAGGCAGCAGUGGGGAAUAUUGGACAAUGGGCGAAAGCCUGAUCCAGCCAUGCCGCGUGUGUGAAGAAGGUCUUCGGAUUGUAAAGCACUUUAAGUUGGGAGGAAGGGCAGUAAGUUAAUACCUUGCUGUUUUGACGUUACCAACAGAAUAAGCACCGGCUAACUUCGUA
rnacentral:rRNA from 1 species